UGGGGUUGCUAGGUAACGGGCAAAACUCUGCUGGGGUUGCUAGGUAACGGGCGGAACUCUGCUGGGGUUGCUAGCUAACGGGCGGAACUCUGCUGGGGUUGCAAUGUAAGAGGUGGAAGUCUGCUGGGGUUGCUAGGUAACGGGCGGAACUCUGAUGGGGUUGCUAGCUAACGGGCAGUGCCCGCUGAUUUGUUACAUUGCAUUCUGGAUGUUCUUGAAACGGCGAAUUUUCAAGACAGCAAAAAAUAUUAACUUAUAGCCAAAAAAAACGUCUGGAUGGUGUUUAUUUUAGGAGCAGUACAGACUUAAA